AUACGGAGGGUACAAACGUUAAUCGGAAUUACUGGGCGUAAAGCGCACGUAGGCGGUUUGUUAAGUGGGAUGUGAAAGCCCAGGGCUUAACCCUGGAACUGCAUUCCAAACUGACGAACUAGAGUACGAUAGAGGGGGGUAGAAUUCAGAGUGUAGCGGUGAAAUGCGUAGAUAUUCUGAGGAAUACCGGUGGCGAAGGCGGCCCCCUGGAUUGAUACUGACGCUGAGGUGCGAAAGCGUGGGGAGCAAACAGGAUUAGAAACCCCAGUAGUCC
rnacentral:rRNA from 1 species